AGUGAACGCUGGCGGUAGGCCUAACACAUGCAAGUCGAACGGCAGCACAGUAAGAGCUUGCUCUUACGGGUGGCGAGUGGCGGACGGGUGAGGAAUACAUCGGAAUCUACUUUUUCGUGGGGGAUAACGUAGGGAAACUUACGCUAAUACCGCAUACGACCUACGGGUGAAAGCAGGGGAUCUUCGGACCUUGCGCGAUUGAAUGAGCCGAUGUCGGAUUAGCUAGUUGGCGGGGUAAAGGCCCACCAAGGCGACGAUCCGUAGCUGGUCUGAGAGGAUGAUCAGCCACACUGGAACUGAGACACGGUCCAGACUCCUACGGGAGGCAGCAGUGGGGAAUAUUGGACAAUGGGCGCAAGCCUGAUCCAGCCAUGCCGCGUGGGUGAAGAAGGCCUUCGGGUUGUAAAGCCCUUUUGUUGGGAAAGAAAAGCAGCAGGUUAAAACCCCGCUGUUCUGACGGUACCCAAAGAAUAAGCACCGGCUAACUUCGUG
rnacentral:rRNA from 1 species